UUUGGUUUGCAGUAGGUGUAGCCAGUUUGACGGAAGAGCCGAAGAGUCACUCAUGCUAUAAAAAGUAAAAAGGUGAAGGGUGGGAGAUUUUGAAUCCGGGAGACAAUCUUUCAUGCUGUGGAGAGAUGUCCUGUUUUUUUUUUUUCUUUCUUUUUUUUAUUUGUGGUUUCUCAACUUUAAGGUUAGCAGUAGGCGUGGAUGAUUGCUAGCUAGUAAGUAGAUGUGCAAAUGCCUAGUGCUCAUGAUUCUAGAGACAGAGGGAGGGAGAUUGUUGUUUUUUUCAAAGGGAAACAGCUUGCCCUCAAGGUCCAGAGAUGGUGAGGUCUCUCCCUGUUAUUGUUCCAUUAAUAAAUCACAUUUGGACAAAAAACCAUCAUGUAAGUUUUCUUCUACUCUUUUCGUGGUCACAGCUGUAAAGUUUACAGGACAAUAAAAGAGAGAUCAGGACCAUACAUGUGGUCUGGGCCUCUCUUUCCAGCCAGAUGUGUUGUUUUUAUUUUAAAAAAAUGCCAUGAAAUCACGCUGCUACAUUAAUGUAAAGAACUGUUUCCGUGACUAAAUAUCUGUCGACCUUGCUUCUCUGUCCA